GCCGAUUUCUGAUUUAAACCUCAAUCUCAGUUGUACGUUUUCAAAAAUGGUGAGGACCGAGUUGUCUGCGAAGGCAAAGAAUAAAGUAAGUGCAUGCUUAAUGAAGUAGGAACUGUAAAUAAGCAAGAUGAAAAAUUAGAGUCUCUUCAUUUGCAGAGAGACACUUAAAUGGCGAACAGUGGAAUGAUGGACUAUUAUCUACAGUUAGGAAGCGGGUUCACAUGGAGUUAGAAAGAAAAGCAAUGCAGGGGGAUGCUAGCAUGGCAUUGAAUUCUCACUUCCAUGGGAAAAUUACUUAUAGAGCAGGAAAUAAGUGUUUACGUUGGGAUGAGCUAGAAGGGGAUUAUCACAAAGUCUUGGCGAGGUGAUCCCUUGCACUAUUCUCUGCCAGGAACAGGGCAAAUUAGUUCUCAAUAGGAAUCUGCAACAAAUGUCCAGAAUAUAGUUUUCCAAGGGAGGAACAAUUCCCAAAUCCUUAACAUAACGGAAGGAUUUAAGUAAUAGGAGCAGUGCAUAAGCCGAAAUGACUCAAAUCAGUUGGAAAUUGUCCGUUAAUUUAGUCUCCAUUUAGUGUUGCCUUCAUCAUCCUCAAAGAUAUCAACCUUCACAUCACUCAGCACUGGUGGUGGGAGUGUAAACAAUGGUGGAAGCUUCUUUCCAUUACUUUGGAUGGGUGGUAAUAUCAAUGAACAAAGUACCAUGCUUAGUUCAGCUUGGGAUUAACCCACUGGAUUAGGGUCUUCGCGUGAGGGUUUUGGACUGCAUAUCAAGAAGGCCCUUAGAGGUGUGAAGGUUGAAGUAACUCAUGGAGGAAGUAUGAGCAGACUUAUGGGUUUUCUAUUCAAUGAACACAUUUUCCCUGUUUGCAAGUUAGAAAUCAACAAAGGCCAAAUCAUAUUUCCAUGGAGGUUUGUAAAAUUGUGGAGGGUCAGAGGUACUCGAAAAGACUCGAUGAACGUCAAAUAACUGCUCUUUUGAAGGUUAC